rnacentral:rRNA from 1 species
CCUACGGGUGGCUGCAGUGAGGAAUAUUGGUCAAUGGGCGAGAGGCUGAACCAGCCAAGUCGCGUGAGGGAUGACGGCCCUACGGGUUGUAAACCUCUUUUGCCGGGGAGCAAAAAGCGGUACGUGUCCCGCCUCGAGAGUACCCGGAGACAAAGCAUCGGCUAACUCCGUGCCAGCAGCCGCGGUAAUACGGGGGAUGCGAGCGUUAUCCGGAUUUAUUGGGUUUAAAGGGUGCGCAGGCGGCAGGGUAAGUCAGCGGUAAAAUUGAGGGGCUCAACCCCGUCGAGCCGUUGAAACUGGGUUGCUAGAGUGGGCGAGAAGUACGCGGAAUGCGUGGUGUAGCGGUGAAAGGCAUAGAUAUCACGCAGAACUCCGAUUGCGAAGGCAGCGUACCGGCGCCCAACUGACGCUCAGGCACGAAAGCGUGGGUAUCGAACAGGAUUAGAUACCCUUGUAGUC